UAAGUACUUUUUGCGUUCGAAAAUACUUAUCAUAAGAAUGGAUGUAUCUAGACGUAUUUUAGUUUUAAAUACAUCUAUUUAUAUUUAUUUUUAUGACAAGUAAUUCCAAUCGGAGAAAGUAGAAC
rnacentral:pre_miRNA from 2 species